GGAAGGAUGGGACCCAUUCCCAGCCCUCAGUGAGUCGAGGCAAACAGACCCAGUGGCAGAAACCAAAGAAGUCGUUGGAUCUCCAGGGGCUGAAGUUCAAGGCACCUGUGAGCCAUUUGACAUGUGUUCUGGGAGAUGAACUAUGGUCCUCUGUAAGAGCAGCAAGUACUCAUAACCUUAACUGAGUCAUUGAGAGCUGAUCCAUGACUCCUUGGGGUACAUGGAGAAAAGGAAGCAGCUAGAGAGUUACCACUGAGUCAACUCCUUGUGCACGCCAGACCUGCCUCGCCAGCUCUGGUCACCUGAUAGACCAGAGAAGACAAAUCAUAUUAAUAAGGAGUCUGUGCACACUGUGAGCAUGCUCACAUCUGCCAUCCCAUUUGAACCUCAGAACAACCUGUGUGAAAAUAAGGAUCGAACAAGGAGGAAACUAAGUCUCUGUAAA